CACAGAGUCAUUUCCCUCAAACUCAAAAAAUUCUUACAAAUUCUUCAGAACUUACAAUUUAUCGAUGCAAAAUUCCUACUGUGAUCACAGAAACUUCGAUAGGGUAAACCAUGCAGCUUUUAAUCCUUACUUAAGUCCACAUACUUUUGUCCAAUAUUUAAACAGUAUCUGGGUAUAGACUCUUAAUUAGCAUCUGAGCAAUUGGUUUGAUUGUACAAUUUUCUGGUAUUCUUCAUAACCACUUUGAUCAAAUUUAACCAGAAAUAAAAUUUUGUUAAGAUUUCAUCUGGCGUAAAAAAAAAUACCUGUGGUUCCGUUCCCGACCGACCCUAUUUUUUUCUGCCGACCCUAUUAUUUUUUCAACGCGAUUGACCGUGCGACCCUAUUUUCUCCGGGUGGUUGCGGGCUGCUGCCAAAAUGCUGUCUCUAAAUUUUUGUCACACUAAUUAUCAAAAAAAAAAUUAUUUCCAACCUACCGACCCUAAUUUUUUCGCGAUAUGAAACCGGAACCACAGGUAUUUUCCAAGGGGAGGAGUAAUUCUCACAUGGAAUUUCCAAAGGGAGGGGGUAAAUUUGAUGGGAUGGAAAUUCCAUGGGAGGACAUAUGUUAGAGGGAAAUUUCCAGGAGUAAAUGUCCCAUGAUGGAAAUUCCAUAGGGAGGGGUAAUUUACACAUGGAAAUUCCAUACACAAGGAGGAGACAGAAUUGUGACCAAAACAUUACUGAAUUGUUGAAAUCUCUACAAAUUUUAAGCAGGCUAUUAUUUUACCGAAAUUUUACUAAAAAAAAACCAUUACUAAAAUUUUUCGUAAAGUAAAAUAUUUUACCAAAUCUGG